CAUAGCAACGUCUCACCAUGAGCCAGCAUGCUAUCACACUUGCAGAGAAAGCCUUGCCUGAAGCCUUUCACUGCCAGUAUUAACUGUGGGGUUCCCCAGCUGCUGGAAACCGUUAGAACUGCAGAAGAAGGCUGGCAAGUGUUCAAGAACAGACCAUCUCAUGAGAUUUCCUGUACUUCCUGCUGCUGUUGCUGCUGCUGUCCAGGUCACGUGUCCCCCAGAAAGCCUUUCUCAUGACAGGUCAGCACUUCUGCUGCCAGUUGUGGCAGAAGCCAGAUGUGAGGAGAGACAUGAAAAAACAACAUAAUGAAGAGAACAUAACUACUGCAAACCCAUAACAACAUGUGAAAAUCCAAGGAGCAGGAAGACACAGAGAAGCCAACCUCUAAAUUCAGCUGGAUAAGAAAAAUCUAUGCGGUUUCAAAGAUUCCACGAAAAAGACGCCACUACCCACAUCUAUCCACUCGUGUUUAUGAAUGUACACCCACCUUCAUCCACAGAGAUUUGAAGAGGACAGAUGGCUUUAUGACCCCCCUUCUAGAGAUGAUGAAGCCAGGACUAGUUACCCCAGUCCACAAAGCUGAGAGAGACACAGCAGAGAGCCAGGUAGUAAGAAAUGUUAGAAGAGAAAUGUUCUACUGAAAUAAAAAGAUCUCAAAAAUUAAACUCUGACAAUUACAGCUGAUAUCAAUAAGGUUUCAGGUGUGCAAUACAGUGAUUCAGCAAUUCCAUAUAUUACUCAGCUCUCAUCACGCCCUUCUAACCUUAAAGAUUGGAAAGCUGAUAAUGGAAAGGAAGCAAAGCCAAGGGCCCGGGUAGCUGCAAGGAACGUGGCGUAAGAGAGCUGUAGUCUGCUCCUAAGGGAUAAGAUGUAAGCCCUGACCUCACAGCUUAUAUCCCUCACUUUCUCCUCUUCUGUAUCCGAGAGACAGCUGUCCCCAUGUCACCUUCAUCUGUAAUCUACUGCCUUUUCCCAGAAUCCUUAAGAUUAUCCAAUCUGUACAAAGGAGCCGGAAGGAGCUCUAUAAACUUGAAUGGAAGCCUUGGUCCAUGUCCUUCACUGGAGGCCUCCCUAAACCUCUUUUCCAAGAGCCAUAAUGGGUCCCUAGCAGUAAAGAGUCUACCUUGCCUUCCUGAUCCGCCAUUCUAUCAGGGGAGGAGAAAUGUUACACCCAGAAUAAACACUCGGCAAACAUC